GUGUGCCGACACGCGAGUUAGGGCUAACACUCAAAUUAACUAACAUAACUUCACACAGAACGCGACAGAUCUGAAUAAAACAUACCUGGGACAAACACCGACAAAGGCAGGUUAACAUAAUGCAUCAUAAUGAGAAUAAAUACAGUUCGUCAGAGGAUUACCAUACACACACACACACACACACACACACGUCAUUUUAUCAUUGCGAAUCACAGAUAUUCAA